UACGAAGGGGGCUAGCGUUGUUCGGAAUCACUGGGCUUAAAGCGUGUGUAGGCGGACUUCUAAGUGCCUUGUGAAAUCCCACGGCUCAACCGUGGAACUGCUGGGCAUACUGGGAGUCUUGGGCCAUUCAGGGGCAACUGGAACAAGCGGUGGAGCGGUGAAAUGCGUAGAUAUCGCUUGGAACGCCGAAGGUGAAAACAGGUUGCUGGGGAUGUGCCGACGCUGAGACACGAAAGCCAGGGGAGCGAACGGG
rnacentral:rRNA from 1 species